GUUAAAAUUCUCAAUAUGGGGGGGCUAACCCGGGGGUGGUUGCGUCUUCGUGUUAUUUGUUGCAGAAGGAUCACCACAGAAAGCCAUUCUUAAGACUAAACGCAUCAUAGUGGUGGAGAUACUUCAGGACAGCGAAGCGAAGGUAAAAUUUGUGCUGAACACUUUUACAGUAAUCUGUCCUAGCACGUAUAUUCUCAUGCAGUGUGAGCUCACCAUUGUAUAAGUAAGGAUUUUUAAAUAAUGCCUCUUCAUGCUGAC